rnacentral:rRNA from 1 species
GACAGAGGAGCCAAGCGUUGUCCGGAUUGACUGGGCGUAAAGCGUGCGCAGGCGGUUUGUUAAGUCUGCUGUGAAAUCCCCGAGCUCAACUUGGGAAUUGCAGUGGGUACUGGCAGGCUGGAGUAUGGUAGAGGAAGGUGGAAUUCCCGGUGUAGCAGUGAAAUGCGUAGAGAUCGGGAGGAACAUCCAUGGCGAAGGCAGCUACCUGGACCAACACUGACACUGAGGCACGAAAGCGUGGGGAGCAAACAGG